AUUGAACGCUGGCGGCAUGCCUUACACAUGCAAGUCGAACGGCAGCACGGGUGCUUGCACCUGGUGGCGAGUGGCGAACGGGUGAGUAAUAUAUCGGAACGUACCUUAUUGUGGGGGAUAACGCAGCGAAAGCUGUGCUAAUACCGCAUAAUCCCUAAGGGGGAAAGCGGGGGACCGUAAGGCCUCGCGCAAUUAGAGCGGCCGAUACCGGAUUAGCUAGUUGGUGAGGUAAAGGCUCACCAAGGCAACGAUCAGUAGCUGGUCUGAGAGGACGAUCAGCUACACUGGGACUGGGACACGGCCCAGACUCCUACGGGAGGCAGCAGUGGGGAAUUUUGGACAAUGGGGGCAACCCUGAUCCAGCAAUGCCGCGUGAGUGAAGAAGGCCUUCGGGUUGUAAAGCUCUUUUGUCAGGGAAGAAACAGCAGCUCUAACACAGUUUGCGAAUGACGGUACCUGAAGAAUAAGCACCGGCUAACUACGUGCCAGCCGCCGCAGUAA
rnacentral:rRNA from 1 species